CCUGCAAAAUACAAGAGAUCAGAGAUGUAUUUUGGCCCCCCAAAGGUUCUAAGAAUGUUCUGUGGUCUGAUGAAACCAGAAUUGAUCUUUUUGACCAUCAUCAGACUAAGCACCUAUCAUCAAAACACACCAUCCCUACUGCAGCAGGCCCUGAAAGGCUUGUGAAAGUAGAGGGUAAAAUGAAUGCAGCAAAAUACAGGGAAUUCCUGGAGGAAAACCUGCGAGAGAACUAUGACUUGGGAGCAGAUUAGUUUUCCCGCAAGAAAAUGACCCCAAGGAUAAAGCCAAAGCUACACAGGAAUGGCUUAACAACAACAAAGUUAAUGUCCUGGAGUGACCAUGUCAGAGUACAGACCUCAAUCCAGUUGUGAGUUUGUGGCUGGACUUGAAAAGGGCUGUUCACUCACGAUCCCCAUGCAAUCUGACAGAGCUUGAGCAGUUUUGUAAAGAAUGGGGGGAAAUUGCAGUGUCCAGAUGUGCAAAGUUGAUACAGAUUCAAGGCUCUAAUUGCUGCCAAAGGUGUAAUACUGACUUGAAAGAGGUGAGUAAUUAUGCAAACAGUUUUUUGUAUCUCAUAAUUGUAAUAAAUUUAGACCAAUUUGUAAAAAUUUGUCUCCUCUUUGACACGAAAGAGUCUUUUCUGUUGAUCAGUGUCAAAAAAGGCAAAUUAAAUCCACUGUGAUACAAUGUUGUGUAAAACAAUAAAUCAUGAAAACCUCUGGGGAGGGGGCCAGUGGGACAGGGAGUGAAUACUUUUUAUAGGCACUGUAUAAGAAAGUAGAGACACUACGUGCUUUCUUCGUAAUGGCACUUACAGGCUAGGCCCAGGACAGAUCCUCUGAAAUGAUAACACUGAGGAAUUUAAAGUUGCUGACCCUCUCCACCUCUGAUCCCCCAAUGAGGACUGGCUCAUGGACCUCUGGUUUCCUCCUCCCAAAGUCAAUAAUCGUCUCCUCGGUCUUGCUGAUGUUGAGUGAGAGGUUGUUAUUGUGGCACCACUCACCCAGAUUUUCCAUCUCUCUCCUAGUGAUGCUGCGAUGAAUCCUGCCUUAAUAAAAAUGUCCUUGUACAGAGAAUUACACCUUGUUUCAAAUUUUUAUGACAUAAACAUUUCUGUUCAAUGUGGCAAUGUUUUUCCUGGUUGUGAAACACUCUGUCUAGCUAGACACUGAUAGGUACGUGGAUGGUAGGGGUAUGAAGGGCCAUGAUCCCAGUGCAAGUUGAUGGGAGUAGGCAAUCUAAAUGGUCCAGCAUGGAAUAGGUGGGCUGAAGGGCCUGUUUCUGUGCUGUACUUUUCUAUGACUAUGAGUGAGAAAGGAAGAGAAUUAAUAAGGGAAAAUGCACAUCUGAAAUUAAUUCACUUAUCACAAUUUCAAUGGGAAUACUGGCAGUCACAGUAUUAAUACUAUAUGAUGCUUGCUUUUGCCCAACUUGAUUAACAGUUGAUUGGGUUUGAGAUGGGACAGGUUUAUUAAACCAAUGAAAGAGCAGCCUGUCUGAUCAUUGUCUUCUGUUAUGUAUGCGCGGAGCAAGAACUACAAUGGAGCAGUAAACGUUUUUACUGAGUCUCUUUAGCCACUGUGCCCAUUGGGCAAUUUACAGUGUGGAGUAAAAACGUUUAAUCCUACUGCUCCGCAGUCAUUCUUGGUCCUUGCAGACGUAACACGUUCCAUUACCAAUCUUCCCCAGUGGGAGGAAAACCAAUCAGGGAUUUGUUUCAGUGGCUUCACCAGCUUAUAUAAACAUCUUAAAUCCAGUUAGGAGUUCAAGGAAUACAUACAGUCAGGCAGUCUCCAAUUUAAUUUUUGAUUUUUCCAUAGGCAGCUCUGAAACUGGUUAAGAAUGGAUGAAAAGUAAAUGAUUCAGAAGAUGUAGUGAACUGUUGCAUGCAGAACUAACAUUUGUUAGCAAGAUUUAACCCCCUACCAUCAGGCAAAAGGUACCAUAGCAUGGAAAACAACUCCUUCCCCCAGAUUCUGAGACCACUGAAUUCCCUGCCACCAGUCCAGUCUCACCAUGUAUAAAGCUGCAGUAGGAUUAUACUGUUUAGCUUUUAACUUCUGAUGUAAAUGCAUCUUAUUAUUUCUUAAUUUAUUUGUGGUAGUGUUACUCUAUGUGUUGUGUGUGAGUAAUACAUACUGUGUUUUGCACCUUGGUCCAGAGAAACAUUGCUUCAUUUGGUGAUAGACAUGUACAAUAUUUGGUUGAACUUGAUCUUUGUUCCUGUGUCUGUGCUAUGUAGAAUCAUCAUUUAAGAAGGCACAUCUGUUAUUACUAACUCUGAGAAUUCCAAAUUAAAGUAAAAUCAUGUAUACCCACUCCUGAUCAUUAUCCUUGUCAUCUUCCUUCCUUUGCCGUUUCUGCCAACAAAUGAGGUCCACUGGGGACAGAAAUAGGUUUCAUUUUCAUGUCCUCCAUGUCUAUGUAGUGUGUUCACCCUGGGGUGUUUUACUAGGCAAGAUAGGGGAAGACUGUCAGCAACUAUGGAGCACUAUGUGGCCAUCAUCACCUUCAAGAGAGAAGGACAGAAAGUGUCACGACGUGGGCUGGUAAUGUCAGAACCCAAGUGUGGAGACAAGACAGACUCCAAUAUAGAGACAGUGACCAGAGUUUAUUCAUAAUAAUUCCAACAGAACAUCGGUGGCUCGGCUGAAUGACACUGCGAGACGUAACAUUCUCAAAACUGGGACCCCGCAAUUAGUGCUAAUCGGACAUCUGUUUAAACAACACAAGUAACACUGAAAUCACCAGGAGAUCACAUUGAGUGAAUCUCUUGAGUAAAAAACACAAGGAACUUUAAAUGGUUAAUGACUCUCAUUAAACAACUAUUAACCAAUUCAUGCGCUCUAAAAACCUCAGAGCCUAACACUCUCCAGCUUUCCACACAAACCUGAAGAGCUCAUUACAGAAAGUCUGUGAAAGGAAACCCUCUGAAAAAGAGUUAUGUUCCACAGAAGAUGCGCAGUGGAGAGUAUAUCGUCUAGCUGUAUCACAGCCUGAUAUGGAAACACCAUUGCCCUUGUAUGGAAAAUCCUACAAAAAGUAGUGAAUAUGGACCAGUCCAUCACAGGUAAAGCCCUCCCACCCUUGGGCACAUUUACAAGGAGUGCUGUCACAAGAAAGCAGCAUCCAUCAUCAAGGAACCCCACUACUCAAGCCAUGCUCUCUCCUCGUUGCUGCAAUCAAGAAGGAAGUACAGGAGCUUCAAGUCCCACAGCACCAGGUUCAGGAACAGUUUUUACUCCUCAACCACCUGGCUCCUGAACCAGAGUGGAUAACUUCUCUCACCCCAACACUAAACUGAUUCUGGACUCAAUUUUAAGGAUUCUACAUCUCAUGUUCUUGACAUUUAUUUCUUACUUAUUUUUUCCUUUCUUUUUGUAUAUGCACAGUGUUUGUCUUUUGUAGAUUGGUUGUCAAGAAGUGUGCGGUUUUUCAUUGAUUCUAUUGUGUUUCUUUGUAUAUACUGUGAAGCCUACAAGAAAAUGAAUCUCUGGGUGGUAUAUGGUGUGUGCAUGUACUUUGAUAAUAAAUUUACUCUGAACAUUUUGAA